rnacentral:rRNA from 1 species
UACGGAGGGUGCAAGCGUUAUCCGGAUUCACUGGGUUUAAAGGGAGCGUAGGUGGGUUGGUAAGUCAGUGGUGAAAUCCCCGAGCUUAACUUGGGAACUGCCAUUGAUACUAUCAGUCUUGAAUACCGUGGAGGUUAGCGGAAUAUGUCAUGUAGCGGUGAAAUGCUCAGAUAUGACAUAGAACACCAAUUGCGAAGGCAGCUGGCUACACAAUUAUUGACACUGAGGCUCGAAAGCGUGGGGAUCAAACAGG